rnacentral:lncRNA from 1 species
AAGUCUCGCACAGCCAGCGACACCCGGGUGACAACAGCUGGUUCGUGGUCUUUGCGAGACGAAGUGUUCGACUGGUCACCCUUCAUGAUGCAUUCUGAUGGCGACAACUUUUUUGACAGCCGGCUUCCACCGAAACUCUCGGGCAGCGCGUUGUCAGGUCAUUUUACUGAGCUCGGGAAAUUUCCAUUUGUCACUUAACAGCCAUAUGUCAGAAAUUUAAUGACAUCACCUUGGCCAAGAUUCAAGAAUUCAGAACUCCAAGUUACGCUGAACUGCGU